CCUGUUUUCCCGCCGGCCGCCGUUGCGCGAUGCGGCGCACGGCCUGCGCCGCGUGGUCCCGCGCAUUCCCGCGCCUCUUCGCGCAUCCGGAUCGCGGCGGCGCCCGGCGCGCGCGCCGCCGCGAUCCGCGGCCGCUCACGAGAACCCCAUAGUGUCGAGCGCGUUGCGCCGAGCAUCAAUUCGAAACACGGUGCGUGCGUUAUCGCAUUGAAUCGCCGCCCUUUUGCGCGGCCAUUCAAACAGGCGCCGGCGAGGCGGUGCGCGCCGUCGGCCCGCGCGCCGGCCGCCGGCGCGGCGUUCCGUGUGUAAACGGCGCCCGGUUUCGUCGGACCUGAAUCGGACGACCGGCGAGCGCCAGGCCGAUCUCGAGAAAGAUGCUGCGUGCGGUUGACGGGCUGAUCGCGCCUGCCGCACCGAUCGGCGUCUGGGCCACGUCCUGCGAUAUCGGCCGCUCGGCGCGGCGAACGUCGGGCCGCGCCUUGUGCUCGAUACGCUCGUGAAUUUCGCGCGCCGCGCGAUCACGAUCGACCUCGUGCUGCGCGGCGUCGCGCUGUUUCUUCGGCUCGUGUUCGAAGCGCGGCGCCUCGCGAGGCGCCGCGCGUGAAUCCGCAUCGUACGGAUGCGUGCCAUGGCGAUCGGCGUUGCGUUUGCGCCGUUCCUGAUGCAUCGCGAACGCGCUACGCGCUACGCGCGGCCGCGAGCCGGCCGGCGUCGGAGAUGCGCGGCCCGCGCGGGGCGCUCCUCGGUCUCGCGCCGAUCGCGGCGGCCGCGAUCGGCGACGGCGCGGUCGCGUUGCCGCGUGCCUGGCGGCCGAUGCCGCGCGCGCGGCACAUCUCGCACGACGCCUGUCACGCCGGCGCGUGCUCGCCGCAUCCGAUGAUCGCGCGAUGCGUGAGAACGACCUGCUCGCGCAGCCAGCGCAGGCCGGGCUGCGCAUCCUGCUGACGAUGCCAGAUGAGGCUCACCUGGAUCGGCGCGAUGUCGAUCGGCAGCGGCGCGAUCUGCAGCGCAUAGACAUCGGCGAACCGCUCGGCGAGCCGGCGCGGGAUCGUGCCGAGCAGGUCCGAUUUCGCGACGAGCGCGGGAAUCGUCAGAUAGUGCGGCACCUGCAGAUGCACGACGCGCCGCACGCGCGCGGAGCCGAGCACGAUCUCGAGCGGCGAGCCGCGCCUGUCGCGCGGCUGGAUCGACACGUGCCCGCUCUCCUCGUAGCCGCGCAGCGCGAGCCCGCCGGCGAACGCCGGAUGGCCGGCGCGCCCGAUCACGACGAGGUGCUCCUCGUGCAGCGGCUCGUAGCAGAGCUCCGGAUUGUCGAAAUGCAGGUAGUCGAUCGCGAGAUCGAGCGUGCCCGUCGUCAGUUGCGCGGGAAUCGAGCCGGCGUCGUCGCUCUGCACCG
rnacentral:rRNA from 1 species